CGAGCCGCCGGGAGGUCGCGCUGCCCCCGCCGUGGGCGCCCCGACCCCGCCGAACCCCCUCCUUCCGGCGGAGCUCGGGCUCACCGCCCCCCGGGGGCGUUCCUGAGGUGCCGCGGGCGGGGGAGGCCCGGUCCCGGCGGGGCUUUGCCCUGAGAGUGAGACAAGCACCAGCGCAGGGAGCCCCGGCCGGUGCGCGGCCGCUGCGGGCCCGAACUUGGGGCUACUGGCGCCCGGAGCGCCGGGCUGUGACAGGCGCGCACCUGCCCGGGCUGGAAGCACCUCUCCACAGACCAGCCGCCUCUGGGGUCGGACACACUUUGUGGACAUAAGCAUUUUUUAAACUUUUUUUUUUUUUUAAGAACUCGUUUUCUGGGAUUUUUACAAGCAGCCCCUUAGUUGGCAUUGGUUUCCUGCUUCUCCCACCUCAAGGUAGCGUUUGCUCUGUUCUUCCUGGUACCAUAUAUCAUGGGGAUCUGAUCGGAAUUGAUAUUUUAAGUACUCCAGGAGCCCCCCAGCCCAUCCACCUGUUAAAGCGAGCAGCUCCGCUUCAUUCUUUCUUCUUUUUUUCUCUGUGUCGCCUGUUGGAUGUGAUGGAACUCAUGUUUGCGGAGUGGGAGGAUGGGGAGAGGUUCUCUUUCGAGGACUCUGAUCACUUUGAGGAGGACUCCCUUUGUUCCUUCAUCUCAGAGGCAGAAAGCCUUUGCCAGAACUGGAGAGGAUGGCGGAAGCAAUCGGCCGGACCCAAUUCUCCCACUGUCAAAAUGAAAGAUGGGCUGGUGAUCCCAUUGGUGGAACUGUCUGCAAAACAGGUUGCAUUUCACAUUCCAUUUGAGGUCGUGGAGAAAGUUUAUCCUCCAGUUCCCGAGCAACUACAGCUUCGGAUUGCCUUCUGGAGUUUCCCUGAAAAUGAGGAAGAUAUUAGAUUGUACUCAUGUUUGGCUAAUGGCAGUGCAGACGAGUUCCAGAGAGGGGAGCAGCUGUUCCGAGUGAGGGCAGUCAAAGACCCUCUCCAGAUAGGUUUCCAUCUGAGUGCCACUGUGGUACCCCCACAGAUGAUGUCACCCAAAGGUGCAUACAAUGUGGCAGUGAUGUUUGACCGAUGCAGGAUCACAUCAUGCAGCUGUACCUGUGGAGCUGGGGCCAAGUGGUGUGCUCACGUCGUGGCGCUCUGUCUCUUCCGGAUACACAAUGCAUCUGCAGUAUGCUUACGAGCACCUGUUUCUGAGUCCUUGUCUCGGCUACAAAGAGACCAAUUGCAAAAAUUUGCUCAGUACCUAAUCAGCGAACUUCCACAACAGAUUCUUCCAACUGCUCAGCGCUUGCUGGAUGAGUUGUUGUCUUCUCAGUCCACUGCAAUCAACACAGUGUGUGGAGCCCCAGAUCCCACUGCUGGACCCUCUGCAUCAGAUCAAAGCACCUGGUACCUAGAUGAAUCUACCCUGAGUGACAACAUAAAGAAAACCCUUCAUAAAUUCUGUGGACCCUCUCCUGUUGUUUUCAGUGAUGUGAAUUCCAUGUAUCUCUCUUCCACGGAGCCACCGGCUGCUGCUGAGUGGGCCUGUCUUCUGCGUCCCCUGCGAGGGAGAGAGCCUGAGGGGAUCUGGAACCUGCUUUCUAUUGUGCGGGAGAUGUUUAAGAGGCGGGAUAGCAACGCUGCUCCUUUGCUGGAGAUUCUGACUGACCAGUGUCUCAACUAUGAACAGAUAACCGGCUGGUGGUACAGUGUACGGACAUCUGCGUCACACAGCAGUGCUAGCGGGCACACAGGACGCAGCAACGGCCAGUCAGAAGUAGCUGCUCAUGCCUGUGCAAGUAUGUGUGAUGAGAUGGUGGUUCUUUGGAGGCUGGCUGUCCUUGACCCAACUAUUAGUCCACAGAGGCGCAGGGAUCUUUGUUCCCAGCUUAGACAGUGGCAGCUGAAGGUCAUAGAUAACGUUAAGAGGGGUCAGCACAAGAAAUCACUGGAGAAACUAUUCCAGGGUUUCAAGCCAGCAGUGGAAGCCUGUUACUUCAACUGGGAGGAAGCUUAUCCUAUCCCUGGGAUCACCUAUAGCAGCACUGACAAGAAAAACUCAUUUUGUUGGGUAAAGGCCAUCCAACAGAGGAGCUGCCGGUUGCAGUGUGCAGAAACUGCUUGUGAGGCUGCUAGAGCCCAUGGACAGGAGCCUGGGGGACCAUGUCUGCAGCCUGGGGACAGGCUGCGUCCCUCUCCCCAGGAGCCAGCAGUUCGUCCAAAGGAACUUACUGGAAAGCGGAAAGUUGUCUCUGAAACACCCCAGAGAGUUCUGAGACGACUUUCAGCAGAAGGUGAUAAAGCUGUGUAUAAGACUGCAGUGGGCAAAGCUAAGUUGCCAGUGAGCAAAGGUUUGACCAGCAAACAUAGUGGGAAACGCCGCAUGAGCAGUGAAGACAGCUCCCUGGAGCCAGACUUAGCAGAGAUGAGCCUGGAUGAUAGCAGCUUGGCUCUGGGUGCAGAAGCCAGCAAUACGUUUAGUUUUACAGAAAGCCCACUGAGCAGGAGCUACAGGGAUGCCUUUGAGGAGGACGGUGGGGUGUACUUCUCUGAGGGACCUGAGCCCAGUGUCAGGAGCAGUUCCACGGCCAAGAAAUCACCCAAAGAUCCUGUGGGGGAGAUGGGUAGCGGUGAUGAUGACCUGACUUCUGCUGAUGAGAACAGCGGUGGUGUGAGCCUGAAGCCAGAAGAAGUAGGAGAGAAUGGUGCGGCAGGGGGAGGGGAUGAUGGAGAAGAGGAAGAUGAUUACCAGGUAUACUAUCUGAAUCCACAAGAGGUAGCCAAGGAAGAUGAUGACAAAGCUGAAGGGGGAAAUGAAGAGGAGCAGGAUAUAUUUGCUGGUAUAAAGCCUCUGGAGCAGGAGAACCGGAUGGAGAUCCUGUUUGCCUGUGCAGAAGCCCUGUAUGCACAUGGAUACAGUAAUGAAGCAUGUCGCUUAACUGUAGAGCUUGCCAGGGACCUACUGGCUAACCCUCCAGAUCUCAAAGUGGAGCAGCCACCAACUAAGGGCAAAAAGAACAAGGUAUCAACCAGCAAGCAAACAUGGAUGGCAACCAACACCUUGUCCAAAGCUGCUUUCCUGCUGACUGUAUUGAGUGAGCGGCUGGAGUACCACAACCUGGCCUUCCGAAUAGGAAUGUUUGCUCUGGAGCUGCAAAGACCACCUGCCUCUACCAAGGCACUGGAGGUGAAGCUGGCAUAUCAGGAGUCUGAGAUUGCAGCCCUCUUGAAGAAGAUUCCCUUGGUCACUAAUGAGAUGAAUACUAUCCGAGGAAGAGCUGAAGAACUGCGAGAAGGAACAUUAUGUGAUUAUCGUCCUGUCCUGCCUCUCAUGUUGGCUAGCUUUAUAUUUGAUGUCCUGUGCACUCCAGUGGUUUCUCCUACAGGCUGUAGGCCCCCAAGUCGUAAUUGGAAUAAUGAAAUGCCUGGAGAUGAAGAACUUGGUUUUGAAGCAGCCGUUGCUGCUCUUGGCAUGAAGACAACUGUCAGUGAAGCAGAACAUCCUCUGUUGUGUGAAGGCACUCGAAGGGAGAAAGGAGAUCUGGCACUAGCCCUGAUGAUUACUUACAAGGAUGAUCAAUCAAAGCUUAAGAAGAUUUUAGACAAACUUCUGGACAGAGAGAGUCAGACUCACAAGCCACAGACCCUGAGUUCCUUCUACUCUUCCAGCAAGCCUACAGUAGCAAAUCAAAAAUCUCCUUCCAAACAUGCUGCCCAGUCCACUGCAGCUAUCCAGCAGCUUCCAGGGACUUCUGUCGCUCAGCAAGCUGGUGUAAGCCCAGCAGUUCAGAGCAGUCCUGAGACCUUUGUGGAGAAGAGUUCACAGGAGAGCUCUCAGAGGUCCCCAUGUGAGCCAGCUGGGGAAUCCACUGUCUUGAAACAGGAGGGAAAGGUCCCCAGUCGCCUGGCCCUUGGAAACCGAGGUGGAUACAAUGGGCGAUGCUGGGGUUCACCCGUCAGACAGAAGAAGAAACACACAGGCAUGGCUAGUAUUGACAGCAGUGCUCCUGAAACUACUUCUGACAGUUCUCCAACGCUCAGUCGGCGUCCCCUACGUGGGGGAUGGGCAACAACAUCCUGGGGCAGAGGACAAGACAGUGACAGCAUCAGCAGUUCUUCAAGUGAUUCACUGGGAUCUUCCUCUUCCAGUGGUAGUAGGAGAGCCAGUGGGGGAGCCCGUGCAAAAACUGUGGAAGUUGGCAGGUAUAAAGGGAGGCGGCUGGAGAGCCAUGCUCCUCAUGUCCCAAACCAGCCUUCAGAGGCAGCUGCCCACUUCUACUUUGAGUUGGCCAAGACAGUCCUUAUCAAAGCAGGUGGAAACAGCAGUACCUCCAUCUUCACCCACCCUUCCUCCAGUGGUGGGCACCAGGGACCACACCGCAACCUUCACCUCUGCGCCUUCGAAAUUGGGCUGUAUGCACUAGGGCUGCACAACUUUGUGUCUCCCAACUGGCUCUCUCGAACUUACUCCUCCCAUGUCUCCUGGAUCACAGGGCAGGCCAUGGAGAUCGGUAGUGCAGCCCUGAACAUCUUAGUGGAGUGCUGGGAUGGACAUCUGACCCCCCCAGAGGUGGCGUCACUGGCGGACAGAGCCUCGCGGGCCAGAGACUCCAACAUGGUGCGGGCAGCUGCUGAACUGGCGCUCAGCUGCCUGCCCCACGCCCAUGCCCUGAACCCAAAUGAGAUCCAAAGGGCUCUGGUGCAGUGCAAGGAACAGGACAAUCUGAUGCUGGAAAAGGCCUGUAUGGCAGUAGAAGAGGCAGCCAAGGGAGGUGGCGUGUACCCAGAAGUCCUCUUUGAAGUAGCUCACCAGUGGUACUGGCUUUAUGAACAGAUUGUUGGUGGGACUCCAGCCCAGAGAGAAGGUGCCACUGGCUGCAGUGCCAGUGGUGCACGGGCUGCCUCAGAAGCAGCACGUGGGUUGUCAGACAACCGGGUGACCUCUGAGCCAACCACCGUAACAGUGGCAGCUGCAGUAACCGCAGCAGCGACGGUCAUGCCAGUGAUCUCUAUGGGGUCAACCAUGUACCAGCAGCAUACAAUGGCAGGACCGGCAAUGGCGCAUACACAUACCCAGGGCCUCCACCCUUACACCACCCUUCAGACUCACAUUCCCUGCAAUCCCCAGUAUAUUGGACACACUAUCCAACACAUGCCACGUCCAGCUGUCUUCCCAGUGCCUGGCUCAGCGUACCCGCAGAGUGUCCAUCCAGCAUUCAUAGGAGCACAGUACCCCUAUUCGGUAACAACACCAUCACUGGCUGCUACAGCAGUGUCGUUCCCUGGUGUGCCAGUCCCAUCCAUGACGCAGAUAGCGGUGCAUCCCUACCACAGUGAGACAGGACUGUCAUUGUCUUCCAACGUAGCGAUAGGAAGUGUCCAUGCAGGAUCAACGUUCCCAGCGAUUCAGGGGGCUUCCUUGACCUCUCUGUCCUCACAGCCCAACUCCCUCGUUACAGGGGGGUUUCCUGCCGAGGAUGAGCAGCACAGUCAGCCUGUGAGCCCCCAGGGUCUGCACUACCUCCACUCUGCAUACCAAGUUGGGAUGCUGGCUCUGGAGAUGCUUGGCCGAAGAACUCAGAGCGAUCAUCCCAACAACUUCUCCCGCAGCCCACCCUACACGGAGGAUGUAAAAUGGCUCCUUGGGUUGGCUGCAAAACUAGGUGUAAACUACUUGCAUCAGUUUUGCGUCGGUGCAGCCAAGGGAGUGCUGAACCCUUUUGUGCUGCAGGAUAUCAUCAUGGAAGCUCUACAGAGGCUCAACCCUGCGCAUGUGCACAACCACCUGCGCACCCCAGCCUUCCACCAGCUGGUGCAGAGGUGCCAGCAGGUCUACUUGCAGUACAUCCAUUACCGGCUGAUCCAUCUCGCUCCAGCUGACUACGAUGACUUUGUGAACGCCAUCCGCAGCGCCAGAAGCGCUUUCUGCCUGACUCCCGUGGGCAUGAUGCAGUUUAAUGAUAUUCUCCAGAACCUGAAGCGUGGCAAGCAGACAAAGGAUCUGUGGCAAAGGGUCUCUCUGGAAAUGACCACCUUCUCACCGUGACAGCAGGUGGAGCUCCACACAACCCUUUGCUCCGCAUAGUGUAGUUCCAUUUACACCAUCCUUCCUUCUGGUGUCUUUUUUAUUUUAGUUUUAACUUGUUGGAAACCACUGAUCUGAUGUAUUUAUACCAUGACAUUCCUCUCCAGCACUGUUGCGUGUCGGUGCUCUGCUUCGCUCGCUCUUCCUCCACCUUCCCAGUGGGCUGCAGGCUUCAGAAGCAUCAGGAAAUGAGAAGGAAGUCAAGCUGGCUGCCCUGUGGCGUAGUCAUUGCUUUUUUCCCUGAGCCCCUGGAGGCUGUCCUGCGAGCAGUUUGCAGGGUGAUUGCGCAUGUGUUUGAGGGGUGGGGGAGUCUGUCUUAAGUAUUUAUUUUGGCAUUUAUAAAUAUGUAAACUUUUUUUAUGUAUGGGCUUCUCUUACUCCACAUACCAUCUCCUGUCGGGAGAGGCUGGGACUGCUGUGCACAGUCAGUGCUCCCUCCAUUCCUUUCAGCACCUUCCUGCUGAGAGAAGCUGAGACUGGAGUAGCAGGGCCAGGGCCACCUCUGUGGCUUUCUGCAGCAGCUGCGGAGGGCAGAGGCUGGAGCUUGGGCAAGGUCCAAGACUGCCCCAAGCUGCCUGGUGACUGCCAGAAGUGCUUGGGCUCUUUCUCAAGAGUGUCCUUUGCUGGACACUGCUGGCUCUUAGGACGUUUUGAUCCUGGUCGUUUGGAGUUGUACAAUCGUGUUUCUUUUGGCUGGGGUAUUACUCUCCUGUAAUCAGUUUCUUAUCCCUUGUCUCUUCUCGUUUCCUGAUUAAACACUCGUUUUCUUAGACUGACUCUCUCUUCUCUCUGCUAUGAUGUUGACAUUCUGAUGGAACUGGCCAGCCUUGUGAGUGCUGUAGAUAGUCUAAGGUUCAUUGGGGAAUAACAGCUAGCACGAGGCAGGUGGCCAGAGCUUUUACACAAGCUGUGACCCAGAAGUUUCUUGUCUGGUUGUGCUCUGUGGAUGCCAUACCUCUGCAGAGGCUGAGGUCUGCUCUGACUGGAUGGUUGAUGGAUGUGAGCAGAGCUGGCGGUAAGCCUGGGGCAUCCCAGAGCAGUGUCUAUGUUUAUGCUGGCCACCGGGUUCCUCUUGUGCUCUGGACAGCAGGGAUACCAUGUGAUAAUGUGGAGCUUUGUAUUUCCAGAGCUUUGUGCAAAACUGGAGCUGCUCGUGCUUGAUGUAAGUGCUAAAGAUGAGCAGUCUGCUCCUGUGAGUUGUGAGAGGUGUUUAGACUACCCAGUUUUCUGUUGCAGAGAAUUAAUUUUAGAAAGUGUAUAUUUUUAUGCCAAGGAAAUUUGGAAGGCUAAUGCCAUAUGUAAGCACACAAGCACAGUAAUUUUUUUUUUAAUGUCAUAAUUACGGAUUUGAUGUAUGUUAAGAAUCUUAAUGUCUCAGUAGUAAUAUAUUUUGCCACUUGGGUUUAGCCAAUGACAAUAGGAAGGUUUCAGUUUUUGCAAGCUAAAAGCGUAUGCGUGUUUGAUAUUUUCAAUGAUAUUCUUGAGAAAUAAUUUAACUCACAAGCGUAGGACAAAGCGGAUGAGCAUACUCCUUUGGUCUGUCUUUCUGUGCUGCACAAGCCAAGGAGUGUGACUGAGGUUCCUCUUAAUUCUGACUGCAACAGUAACUAUUUAAAGGCCCCCUUGCAGCCCUUUGUAUACCUCCAUCAUGUGUUCCACGGCCUGGUUAUGUGCUAAUUAUAAAUGCCAAUGUGUGUAAGUAUGUGUUAAAUUUUGUGGUUUUUAAGCUAACUCUGUGUUGGUUGUGAGCUGCCUGUUAUUGAGGAGACGUCCGGGCCUCUGAAAGGAUGGCACGGCCUCACCUCCGGCAAGUCUGGGUUCCUGAAGCACUUUGUGCCCUUUGGUGCUCACAUGUUCAGGGCUGGGAAAAGAGUUGGGAGGAAAAAAUGAGUGUUUUCUAAUAAAGUUUAAUCUUUUCCUUUCCAUUGUUUAUGGAGAGCAAUUAAGGGUAGAGAAGAGAGCAUCUUCUAGAAGGAAAGAAGCAGAAAGAAAUGGGCAAGAAAGCUGAAUGUUUUCAGUAGCAGGACAGACCCUGUAAGAGUUGUCUUCUAGCAGCUGCGGGGCCCAAGCAGAGGAAGAACCAGGGAAUCUCACCUCAGACUGAUGUCAACUGAACAAGCAGCUCAGUGGUCUGAGGCACAGGUCAGUAGUUUCACAAGUUUCCAGUCUUCUCUCUGAAAACUAGAGCACUCAGGGAGCUGCGUGGAAGGGCUGCCUUGUCAUUUAUUCAGGCCUGUCAGAACAUUCUUCAUCCUGGAUCUCCAGAUCUAUUAAUCUUUUGUUGUUCCUGAGCCAUGGAAAUGUAUCUGAACAAGAACAGGAAGAGUGAGAAAGGAGAUGUUUUUUUCCUGCUACGUGCCUGGAAGGUUCUUGAGGUAAUCUUUCUUUUAUAAGAGAUGAUGGUGAACAAAGAAGCAUUAGUUUACCAUAAGUUAAAAAAAAAAAAAAAAAAAAAAUCCAAUGCAGUCUUGUUAGUUUGGUCACUGUUCCAGACAUGGGGGAAGUACUCAGGCUCAGAAAUUCUGAAGACACUUCAGCAGAGAACCUGUGGAAGAGCAGAGGUUACAGCUGCCUCCAAUUCCCUUUGAGUUUCAGUCAGCCUGUGUGUUUUUUCAUUUGAAGUAAAUGGUCUCUAGGGCUCUCGCCUUCAUCAGCAGCACGUGGUGGCUGCAGUGAAGACUGUCUGCCACAGCAGCUGGAUGCUCUAGAGCACUUCUAACACAGAAUGUCUUUUACAUAGCUGACAAGCUGUUUUCUUGGGUUGGCGACUACUGGUUCUCGGCACUAAUAGCUACAGCUAUUUGGAUAUGGCCUGGCCCCCAGUUGCACAAAGAUGGAUGAAAUUCUGGAAUGCGUGACCUUGCAGUGGGUUAUUGUCACAUUUGCUAAAGUUUUAUUCACUGUCCGUUCCUUGAAGGUAAGAGGAAUGAGAUCUUUAGAUGGUACGUCUUCAUGUGUCCUGUGUUCACAAUGACUUUCUCUGACUUGCUAGAUUUAUUUCUUGAUGGGACCACAGGAAAUAUGUUUCUUCCCUGAAGAAGUUAAUGGCCAUUUAGUGUCUUUUCCACUUUUAUAUAUGUGAUCUUAUAAAUAAAGCUGUUUCUAGGACAGCAGUGUAUCUAAAUGUGAUCUUUUGAUUACUGCACAGUUUCUCAGUCUUUAGAGGUGGUAGUAUCUUGAAGUAAAUCUUCACUGUCUUUAGUGAAGUUGGUAGAUGUGCCAAAAUAACAUCUGGAUUCUUGGCUAUUUGGGUCAUCAGAAGGAAUGUUUUGAUUUAGCUCUUAACGCAGUGGAUAAAAUAAAGGCUUUAUUCAUUGCUUGGAAUGAAUCUCUUGAUACAGAUGCAGCCUUUUUCUGUAAAAAUCAGGUACAUCAGCCUCAGAGAGGGCCUGCUUCCCUUCUCCCCUCUGUAGGGAAGUGCAUAGGACAUACUCACAUACAACCAUCUUUCUUGCCUGUGAAGGUUUUCCUUUUGGAAGCCCUUUCCAGGAGUAUGAUGUAGCAGGACAUUACCUGCCUUUAAAUUUCAGCAUCUUUACAGCCAGCAAACAAUCAGAGUUGUCAUCUGAUGAAUAACGUACCUAACAGGUAGGACUAGAGUUAGCUGAGAAGCGUGUUUCUUUCAAAUUUUUCUUUACUUUCAUUAGUAUUUAUUUGGGAUGUGUAUUUUCCUUCUCGGAGAAAACCCUGACAGAAACACCCUCGUAGGGGUACACUGAACCUAAAUUGUUAGCAUUUUAUUGGGGUGGAGGUUUGGUUUUUAGUCAAGCUUAGCACAUUUAGAUCUGGCUUGGCCACCGCUACAUAGUGCUGGAGCACACUGAAGAAUUUUGUAAGAACCAGCACCAGCAGAAAUGGAGUAAGCAAGGUUCGUGUCCAUGAAAUUUAAUACCACAUCCUGGUAUAAAUAAUAGCUGAAAUGUGACAUAAAUGUGAAGUAGUUUUCUAUAAGAUUUGGGAAAGUUGUUUUUUGGUUUUGUUUUUCUUGUUCAGGAAUUGAGAAAAGGGCACAGUGUUAAAAUGAAGCUUCCAGGAUGCACGUGGGAGAUAUAUUGCAAAAACAUAAAGGUGUUGAUGACUACAACAGCAUUGAUGACUUUCUUUUUUAAUCUAAACUUAAAAAAUUUUAAUCUAAAAUUAAAAAUGCAGGUUAGGCUAGUGGAACUUAACUAUAAAAAUAUAUACAUAUUUUUUAUGACCACAACUGUUGUAUGACUUUGCUUUUAAUCCAUCCCUAGUGAUAGCACGAACUGCUCUCAACUACAGUUUAUCUAGAAUAGUUUGGUAUUUCUCUACGUCCUAAUUAGAGCUUCAUAUGAUGUGAUUAUGGUAAAAUAACAAGGGAGUCUUAAAUAUUACCAUUUUUGUUUACUACCUCUCACUCCUCAGCACAAUUUAAAUGUGGAUUUUGAUCUUCAUUCUGCUUCCUGCUCACAUUUGGAACUUGAACUUGGGGGCAGGGUGGUCAACAACUCCUGUCAAAGAGCAUCAUUAAUCUGUGAAAACUGCAAGUGCAGUCUGGGGAUAUUCUGCGUUAGGGUUUCAGUUUGAGCCUACCAUGAAUUAAAGCUUUUUCUCAGGGCUACCUGCCAAAUACAAGCUUUGUGAGCUGUCACAAGGUAACUCCACUGCUGUAUAUUGUUAAUUGUUGGUAUAACAACAGUGUCUGUGCUCUGUAAGCAACUGUUUUCUCGUUGAUGUUGCCUGUUUGCAGUUAUAGCAUAACUAACUUCUUAAUGCUGUACACUCUGCACUGCACAAUUACUCUGUUGCCACUAAGGGCAUGAUGAACUAUUAAGGGGUUGAGGGGAGAAAUGCUAGCGAUGCAUUAAAAUUUAUUGUGUAUAGUAUAUGUGCACAGAGCUGGAAUGGUCUUCCAUAACUUUCUCUGAUUUCAUGCUUCAGUUUUCCUUGUUUAAGUCAACUGGGAGUACAUCAUUGUUAGGAAUGCUGGGGCUAUGCAGGCAACAGUUGUGCGAGCCUUAGUGUCAACAUGUUGCUGUAAAUCCCGAUGUGCACCUUUUCCAAUACUUGACUUGGCAGGGUUCUGAGAACAGUCUGAUUUAUGAUCCUUUGUUGUUACUGCAAAGUAAACUUGAGCUGGAUUUCAGCCUGCUAUUGCAAUGUCAGAAUUACAGACAUAUGGUCUGCAAGCAUUCUGGAGAGACUAGAGAAGUCAAUAAAGCAAUAUAGAUGAGAAUGAGGAGGAUUUGCGUCUUGGAAAGAAAGCGCUCUUUAAAGCUAAAAAUAGACUGAAUAGAUCAAUAAAUUAUUUCUACAUAUUCCACUCCAGAGCACUGGAGAUGAAAGUGUCAGGGAUUCUUUGCUGUAGCAAAACCAACUUGUAAAGUGUUUUUCAGAGAUGAGAGUUAAAUUAAUUAACAGUUCUUAAUGUUUGUGGGUGGUGGGUUUGUUCUUUCUUUUCCUUUCUGUUUGUUAUUGUUUUUUCUUUUAAUUCCACGAGGCAUGAAGAAGGAAGGAGACAGAAACAAACAAUAGUAAAAAAAAAAAAAAAAGUCCUAAUAACUGGAGGGGUGUGUGUGUGUGUGUGUACCACUACUCACUCCAUAUCCUACUGAGUGAAUGGAGUUUUUCUUCCUAGCUUGAGGCAGGCUGCUGAAAACCCUUGUGCUUGUUAGAUCACACUCACCUGGUGGCUUACUCAGUGAUGCACAGUGUAAGUCAGGAGUCAGCGAAGGGAUGAGCAACCACAUUCAUGUUCAGUUCUCACCUGCUAUGUACGCUUCCAGUUCUGAAGUGACCUGAUCUGGCUACUAUUAAAAUUGCAGGCCCUUGUGAUACCUUUCUGAUGACUCAGUUUCCUAUGCCAAAAAAAGAAAACAUUAAUACAUUACAAAACAAUUUUCAGGUAAUGUCUUACGCUUAACAUUUUCCUUGUCUUGAAAGCUAACUACUUACUGUCAAAUUCUUCCUUACUAAAUAGUGAGGCAAGAAGACAAGGUUUAUUUGCUACUUAUUUCCACUGUCAAAACGAGCUGUGAGGGUCAGUAGCAAGUAAGUGACUGUGUCAGGAUAAAGUAAUCAGUGUGUCUGGCUAAAUCAGAUAAGGAUAUCCUACAUUUGGAUCUCGCCAUAGCAGGUGAUUUGUUUUCCAUUAUUGUAAGCAGUAAAGAAGUAGCACAGCAACGAAGAAAUGGGGGGGGGAUGGAAGGACAAAUAAUGAGAACACAGAGCUGUUCUCUGCUGCCUUGAUUGAAGGACCACUGCCAGUUAACAGCCCUGACAUUUAGUAAGCCCCUUCCAAAUUUGUUCCUGGUACCUUGACUUUUUUUUCUUUUUAAUGUCUGAAUCCAUCUACUUGAAGAUUUACCACAGUCCCGAGGUAAGGCAUGAAGUAAAUGUGUAAGAGACAACCUGUAAUGGCUUAAGUGAAGGAAGGAAGCUCUGUGCGUAAUGGAGCAGCAGUAGCAUCAGUCCUAGGAUCCUCCUGUGGUGG